rnacentral:lncRNA from 1 species
CAGCUCUCUUGUGUCUUCUAACUAGGGUGUCUAGGCUAGGAAUGGGUAGGGGUUCAUCUCCUGAAAUAAUCGUGAUAUCAGGAAGCAGUAAUGCCAGAACGCAACCACCAGUCCAAUUUGAUGGGAGCCUGGGAAAGCUAAAUUUCCACCACACAUAAAAACUGUACCAUUAGGGGGACAAAUGGGUGGAGUAGGUGAAGAACAAUUCUUUACUAAUGAGCAGUUCCCAAAGGAACAGACUCCAACAUCAACAUCAUAGGUAUUAUUUUGCAUCAUGCCCAGAAGGCAAGACAUAAAACCACCUAGAGGCUGCACCUUAAAGGGUAGCCCAGAUUGACAUGUGUUGUCAUCAUCAAUGGUAUAAUUAAUGGGGAUCGCCAAUGGCAUGACUGCACCUGCCAUCAUGCAGAGCCAGCAGUCACUAGCAAGGGUAGGAUUGGAACUGUUAAGUAAGAAAAGGGUGGUUUCUAGGAUAUCUAAUGUAUUGGCAUCUAAAUCAGGAAGCUGGGAUUUGGGCAAUAUCAAGGGGUGGCAUGUAGGCUUAGGGAUCUCUGGCUUUAAAAGCUUAAUCACCUGAAGGUGUUUGAUAGCAUCAGUGGGUCCCCCUCCAUCAGAGACUCUGACGGGGGCCUGCAUGGGCCAUCAGGAGGAUUUACCCACGACGCCCUCACAUCCUGCCUCCGUUAACCGAGUCGUGAUGCCUUCUCCUCCCCGGUCACCAAGAAAAGGAAUAAAA